UGCAGUGUAGUUCAGUGGUAAAACAUUCACCUUGAAUGUGAAAAACUCUGGGGUUCAUCCAGCAUGGCAA
rnacentral:tRNA from 1 species